rnacentral:rRNA from 1 species
CCUACGGGUGGCAGCAGUGAGGAAUAUUGGUCAAUGGACGGAAGUCUGAACCAGCCAUGCCGCGUGCAGGAAGACGGCUCUAUGAGUUGUAAACUGCUUUUGUACAAGGGUAAACCUGAAUACGUGUAUUCAGCUGAAAGUACUGUACGAAUAAGCAUCGGCUAACUCCGUGCCAGCAGCCGCGGUAAUACGGAGGAUCCAAGCGUUAUCCGGAUUUAUUGGGUUUAAAGGGUGCGUAGGCGGAUUGAUAAGUUAGAGGGGAAAUGUCCGAGCUUAACUCGGGAACUGCCUCUAAAACUGUUGAUCUAGAGAGUAGAUGCGGUAGGCGGAAUGUAUGGUGUAGCGGUGAAAUGCUUAGAGAUCAUACAGAACACCGAGUGCGAAGGCAGCUUACCAAUCUAUAUCUGACGUUGAGGCACGAAAGCGUGGGGAGCAAACAGGAUUAGAUACCCCGGUAGUC